UGGGGAAUUUUGGACAAUGGGGGAAACCCUGAUCCAGCCAUCCCGCGUGUGCGAUGAAGGCCUUCGGGUUGUAAAGCACUUUUGGCAGGAAAGAAACGUCGCGGGUUAAUACCCCGCGAAACUGACGGUACCUGCAGAAUAAGCACCGGCUAACUACGUGCCAGCAGCCGCGGUAAUACGUAGGGUGCAAGCGUUAAUCGGAAUUACUGGGCGUAAAGCGUGCGCAGGCGGUUCGGAAAGAAAGAUGUGAAAUCCCAGAGCUUAACUUUGGAACUGCAUUUUUUAACUACCGGGCUAGAGUGUGUCAGAGGGAGGUGGAAUUCCGCGUGUAGCAGUGAAAUGCGUAGAUAUGCGGAGGAACACCGAUGGCGAAGGCAGCCUCCUGGGAUAACACUGACGCUCAUGCACGAAAGCGUGGGGAGCAAACAGGAUUAGAUACCCUGGUAGUCCACGCCCUAAACGAUGUCAACUAGCUGUUGGGGCCUUCGGGCCUUGGUAGCGCAGCUAACGCGUGAAGUUGACCGCCUGGGGGAGUACGGUCGCAAGAUUAAAACUUAAAUGAAUUGACGGGGU
rnacentral:rRNA from 1 species